UACGUAGGGUGCGAGCGUUAAUCGGAAUUACUGGGCGUAAAGCGCACGUAGGCGGCUUUGUAAGUUAGAGGUGAAAGCCUGGAGCUCAACUCCAGAAUUGCCUUUAAGACUGCAUCGCUUGAAUCCAGGAGAGGUGAGUGGAAUUCCGAGUGUAGAGGUGAAAUUCGUAGAUAUUCGGAAGAACACCAGUGGCGAAGGCGGCUCACUGGACUGGUACUGACGCUGAGGUGCGAAAGCGUGGGGAGCAAACAGG
rnacentral:rRNA from 1 species